rnacentral:misc_RNA from 1 species
UUUCCGUAGGUGAACCUGCGGAAGGAUCAUUACAGAGUUCAUGCCCUCACGGGUAGAUCUCCCACCCUUGAAUAUUUAUACCUUAGUUGCUUUGGCAGGCCGUGGAAACACCAUGGGCUCCGGCUUAUGCGUGCCUGCCAGAGGAAACAAACUCUGUUUUUAGUGAUGUCUGAGUACUAUAUAAUAGUUAAAACUUUCAACAACGGAUCUCUUGGUUCUGGCAUCGAUGAAAACGCAGC